CAAGGCUGCGCCGCGCUCCUGCCUCUGUUGUGAUUCAGCUGAAGAAAGGUUUGUGUUUUCAUCAUUUAAAGUGUUCAAAUCGACGCAGACCGCAACUUAAAAGACAUGAGCGACAGGUUUAAGUCAUCUAUCUGACAAAGUGUCCACAUAGACAGGAAAAACUCCUGGUGAAGCAACUGAGAUCCACGUGACACUGUUAUAAAGAUGGCGUUUAUUAAAGAGGAGAGUGAAGACAUGAGGAUUGAAGAAGUCAUAGUCAAACAAGAAGAAACUGAUGAACAAAUAGACCUGAUGCCACUGAAAGAAGAGAGUCAAGAACUGAAUGAAAUGGAAGAAGAAUAUCAUGAUUUCAUAACUGGGAAAAAAUCCACAAAGACCGAAAAGACUUCCUCACGAAAAAGAGCCCAGAAGAAAUCUUACAGGUUUUGCACCUGCCAUCAGUGUGGAAAGAGAUUCAGUCAAAAACAAAACCUUAAAAUCCACAUGAGAAUUCA